UACGUAGGGUGCAAGCGUUGUCCGGAAUUAUUGGGCGUAAAGAGCUCGUAGGUGGUUUGUCGCGUUGUUCGUGAAAACUCACAGCUUAACUGUGGGCGUGCGGGCGAUACGGGCAGACUGGAGUACUGCAGGGGGAGACUGGAAUUCCUGGUGUAGCGGUGGAAUGCGCAGAUAUCAGGAGGAACACCGGUGGCGAAGGCGGGUCUCUGGGCAGUAACUGACGCUGAGGAGCGAAAGCGUGGGGAGCGAACAGG
rnacentral:rRNA from 1 species